GUGUGAAGACAUGAUAUAUGGAGAUGCACCAGCCAUUUUAUAAUCGCAGAAACAAACCUGAAAGUGAAGGCCAACACACCCAGGAUGAUGUCCCAGCAGAGAGAUGAUGAGAACACCAGGUCCUUGAUGACUUCAUUUUAGUUCUGGACCUCUUGUUAACCAACCCCUAGCCUCCCGAGGAUCCCUAACUGAAGUGUUAACCUGUUGUGGAAGGGCGCUUCCAAAGAUGGCUGCCAGCAAUUCCUCCUCUCACCCUAUGCAUGUGCCACACCUACCAUACAAGGUACUCCCAUGGAAAAUUUUUAAAAAGGACUGAAGUGGUAAAACACACAUUACUGCAAAUGCUCUGUUCUGUAUUUAAGGAAUCCACCACUACAGAUGCCCAGAGGAACAUUCUGUGAUAAAGCGGAGCAAGGUCUAUAGAGCUUCUCAAGAGCUUUUCCAAGAGCUAGACAACCCAAGAAACAUUGUUCCAGG